rnacentral:misc_RNA from 1 species
GAUGAAGAACGUAGCGAAAUGCGAUAAGUAAUGUGAAUUGCAGAAUUCCGUGAAUCAUCGAAUUUUUGAACGCAUAUUGCGCCCUCUGGUAUUCCGGGGGGCAUGCCUGUCCGAGCGUCAUUGCUGCCCUCAAGCACGGCUUGUGUGUUGGGCCCCGUCCUCCGAUCCCGGGGGACGGGCCCGAAAGGCAGCGGCGGCACCGCGUCCGGUCCUCGAGCGUAUGGGGCUUUGUCACCCGCUCUGUAGGCCCGGCCGGCGCUUGCCGAUCAACCCAAAUUUUUAUCCAGGUUGACCUCGGAUCAGGUAGGGAUACCCGCUGAACUUAAGCAUAUCAAUAAGCGGAGGA